rnacentral:lncRNA from 1 species
GGCUGUUAGAGGCUGUAGGAAGAGAGCUCUAGGAUAUGAGGACAUGAGUUCUAAAGGACAAUCAGAACAGUAGAAAGGGUAAACAGAGAACAGAACUUCCAGACAAAGGAAAUAGUAUGCUCGAAGGCCCAGGGGUGGGAGCAAAGCUGAAGGUCUGGAAACACAUGUACUUGCAGAUAAUCUUUCAGUGUCUUGAUUGCUAGCAGAUCAUUCUCCUGCCUUCUUUCUAAGUCAGUGGCCUCUCUCUUCAAAUCAUCCCUGUUUGUGUGCUGAGCAAUGAAUGACUGAGACAAGAAAUGAUCCCAGGUGACUAAAUAAAGAAUGAAUAAUUUAUGAGUCAAGAGUCCUUCCUUUACAACUAAAGAGAUCCUUGAUGACAUCAAAGGCUUCAAGAAUCAGAGAAAGAGAAUGCAUGUAUUUUCUGCGCAGUCUGAGAGAGAGUAGCAUAUCUCAAUCAAUUAAGACCUUUUGUAAUGAAUUCUAUUUGGUAUCUAAUAAACCAAAUAAUGUAAUACUGAUGUACAUUCUCAGUGCUCCAUGGGCAGCCACAAUGGUGUGUAAAAUAAAGAAAUUAAGUGUGCAACUCUCUCUUCUUUUUUUUUUUUUUUUGAUACUUUUCUUCUUGCCCUUCUCCUUCCCAAACUCCCAAAACUAUAGAAAAUGUUAACAGUUAAG